AUUGACCGCUGGCGGCAGGCCUAACACAUGCAAGUCGAACGAGUGGCGGACGGGUGAGUAAUGUCUGGGAAACUGCCCGCUGGAGGGGGAUAACUACUGGAAACGGUAGCUAAUAACGCAUACCAUCGGAUGUGCCCAGAUGGGAUUAGCUAGUAGGUGGGGUAAAGGCUCCCCUCGGCGACGAUCCCUAGCUGGGCUGAGAGGAUGACCAGCCACACUGGAACUGAGACACGGUCCAGACUCCUACGGUAGGCAGCAGUGGGGAAUAUUGCACAAUGGGCGCAAGCCUGAUGCAGCCAUGCCGCGUGUAUGAAGAAGGCCUUCGGGUUGUAAAGUACUUUCAGCGAGGAGGCGUUACCCGCAGAAGAAGCACCGGCUAACUCCGUGCCAGCAGCCGCGGUAAUAC
rnacentral:rRNA from 1 species